GAUGAACGCUGGCGGCGUGCCUAAUACAUGCAAGUCGAGCGAACAGACGAGGAGCUUGCUCCUCUGACGUUAGCGGCGGACGGGUGAGUAACACGUGGAUAACCUACCUAUAAGACUGGGAUAACUUCGGGAAACCGGAGCUAAUACCGGAUAAUAUAUUGAACCGCAUGGUUCAAUAGUGAAAGACGGUUUUGCUGUCACUUAUAGAUGGAUCCGCGCCGCAUUAGCUAGUUGGUAAGGUAUCGGCUUACCAAGGCAACGAUGCGUAGCCGACCUGAGAGGGUGAUAGGCCACACUGGAACUGAGACACGGUCCAGACUCCUACGGGAGGCAGCAGUAGGGAAUCUUCCGCAAUGGGCGAAAGCCUGACGGAGCAACGCCGCGUGAGUGAUGAAGGUCUUCGGAUCGUAAAACUCUGUUAUUAGGGAAGAACAAAUGUGUAAGUAACUAUGCACGUCUUGACGGUACCUAAUCAGAAAGCCACGGCUAACUACGUG
rnacentral:rRNA from 1 species